rnacentral:rRNA from 1 species
AUUGAACGCUGGCGGCAGGCCUAACACAUGCAAGUCGAACGGUAACAGGAAGAAGCUUGCUUCUUUGCUGACGAGUGGCGGACGGGUGAGUAAUGUCUGGGAAACUGCCUGAUGGAGGGGGAUAACUACUGGAAACGGUAGCUAAUACCGCAUAACGUCGCAAGACCAAAGAGGGGGACCUUCGGGCCUCUUGCCAUCGGAUGUGCCCAGAUGGGAUUAGCUAGUAGGUGGGGUAACGGCUCACCUAGGCGACGAUCCCUAGCUGGUCUGAGAGGAGGACCGGCCACACUGGAACUGAGACACGGUCCAGACUCCUACGGGAGGCAGCAGUGGGGAAUAUUGCACAAUGGGCGCAAGCCUGAUGCAGCCAUGCCGCGUGUAUGAAGAAGGCCUUCGGGUUUUAAAGUACUUUCAGCGGGGAGGAAGGGAGUAAAGUUAAUACCUUUGCUCAUUGACGUUACCCGCAGAAGAAGCACCGGCUAACUCCGUG